rnacentral:lncRNA from 1 species
GUCCAGAAACAGGGCUACCCACCAAUCGCGUGGUGACAGAGGAGAGAGGGUCCUAAGGACAGAUGAGGAUGUUCUUGAUUUUGUACUCCAAGUAAAUGUAUUUAAGAAUGGUUACCCCAACCUCUGAGAAAUCUGAAAGUGGCAGCUGGAAAUGCCAGGAGAACACAUGGCAACACUGAAUUGACAGAGUUCAAACACCAAAGGGGCAUUUGAGAACUGGAGCUGCCCGAUGGCAAGAGGGCACUUGUAUCAGAAGCUUCACUGCACAGGCCUACAAUAAAUGAAAAAGGCUGCCCAGGGAUGUACUGGAGAUGAUCAGGAGAGACAUGCUUUUCUCCUUCAAACCUUUUGCCUGCUUUGUAUUUCCAGUUUUCACAGCCCACCUUUUUCAGAGACCACACACAGAGACUACACUGAUUGGAAUCAAGUUUAAAGGCAUGGCUUACAUUCAGGGGCUUAUUUAAAACAAAGGCUCAAAUGUCCCGUCACCAGGUCUCAAUCUGAACCAACUUCCAGAUUAUAGAUGAACGUAGUCUUCACUGUGCUACCUGCUCUGAAUAUAUCCAUGCAGUUUCAUUCAAUUUUUCUGGAGGAGACCGAUCAGCAAUUUUCAUAAGAUGGGGGCGAGUAGUAGCGUGAAUGAACCCUGUCUAAAGCAUGUGGAAGACGAGGAGGAACGCAAAGCCCUUAACAUCGAAGCUAUAGGACAAACUGGCUGUAUACUUUGCUUGAAGAAUUAUGAAUCAUGAUAAAAGUAACCUGUAAUGCCCCUAGAAAUAGGGCUCUUGUUUAAUCUCUGCUUAAACAUUGACUAAAGACACAAUGGCCACAUCUAGCAAUGUGAUUCUGGAGACAGUGCUGCGGUCUGCAACGGGACAUGAAUGGCCAAGCCAAGCUUGCAAACAUGGGAUGCUGUGCGUGGGGACAGACCUAUGGAGUCUUGCUCUGUUACUCAGGCUGGAGUGCAGUGGCAUGAUCUUGGCUCACUGCAACCUCCG